rnacentral:rRNA from 1 species
GACGAACGCUGGCGGCGUGCUUAACACAUGCAAGUCGAACGGAAAGGCCCUGCUUUUGUGGGGUGCUCGAGUGGCGAACGGGUGAGUAACACGUGAGUAACCUGCCCUUGACUUUGGGAUAACUUCAGGAAACUGGGGCUAAUACCGGAUAGGAGCUCCUGCUGCAUGGUGGGGGUUGGAAAGUUUCGGCGGUUGGGGAUGGACUCGCGGCUUAUCAGCUUGUUGGUGGGGUAGUGGCUUACCAAGGCUUUGACGGGUAGCCGGCCUGAGAGGGAGACCGGCCAGAGUGGGACGGGAAGACGGCGCAGGCUCCUACGGGAGGCAGCAGGGGGGAUGACGGAACAAUGGGGGGAAGGUUGAUGCAGCAUUGCGGCGGGCGGGAUGAGGGAGUGCGGGUUGAAAACCGCUUACGCCUGUGACGAAGCGUGAGUGACGGUAAUGGGUAAAGAAGCACCGGCUAACUAC